rnacentral:tRNA from 1 species
GGGCCUGUAGCUUAGCUUGGUGGAGCACCCGGCUCAUAACCGGGCGGUCGCCGGUUCGAAUCCGGCCAGGCCCA